GAUCAUGGCUCAGAUUGAACGCUGGCGGCAGGCCUAACACAUGCAAGUCGAACGGUAACAGGAACAGCUUGCUUGUUUCGCUGACGAGUGGCGGACGGGUGAGUAAUGUCUGGGAAACUGCCUGAUGGAGGGGGAUAACUACUGGAAACGGUAGCUAAUACCGCAUAACGUCGCAAGACCAAAGAGGGGGACCUCGGCCGUCUUGCCAUCGGAGUGUGGCCCACGGAAUGGGAGUUAGCUAGUAGGUGGGGG
rnacentral:rRNA from 1 species